AUCAAAGACUAUUUUGUCAAAACAUUUAUUUAUUAUGCAGAGUCGAACUUCAUGAAUUGGCAUCACUGCUUCCCAUUUCUCGCGAAUAUUCGUCUGUUGUUCAAUCAAUGUCGCGAUCGAGUUGAUUACAGAGAGAUCGUUAAAUGCUUUCGAGUUUCGACAUAGUCAGAGGAAUAAAUUAUCAUCACCAUUGAUCCCUUAAGAGACCAAGAACUACCGAUCCUGGCACUUUGGAAAGGUGCAGAAAAUUCCACUCACCUGAGCCAACACCACGACAAUAGGCCUACGACAUUCAUCAAAGUGGAGGCACUGAGGCAGCAAAUAGAAAAGCGAAUUUGUGUUCAGUGUGUACAUUGGAUGGAUCACGGCCCAUAUAUUCUUAAGUCGUGUUCGUUGGCCAACGGAAUAAUGAUCCUUGUGUUCCAGAGCACGCCAACAUAUCCCAAUCCAGGUUGAUAUUGGGAGAUUGUCCAGCGUCUAAAAAUUAACCAAUUACAUUCAGCUUCUACCGCCAUUUGAUUAUUUUAAAAAUACGGCGAUCUAACAUGUUGAAAGUUAUGUUCUCAUCUCUCUCCGCACUCUGGGUUCUGUGUUUGCUAUCAGGGUGAACUCAUCAAGGUGGAAGCUUGGCACUGGUAUUAUAACAAAAUUGUGGGCAAAGAGAAAUGCGCUGUUGUGGACACUUGGUGAUGGCAAACGGAAACGGGAGGCAUUUGCAUCAGUCCAACACUCUCAGCCCCUGGAUCAGAAAUUUGUCCCGGCAUGCCGAUGAGGCUAAUGUACGGAAUCUGGUCUGCUGUUCAAGGAGAAAAGGGGGAGAAGUUGAAAGACAAUAAUGAUGUAACAGGUGCCUUAUUGUGCUUGAAAAAUCCUUGGCCUGGAAUGGCACGCACCAUUUAUCGAACCUACAGCCGACGCUUCAUGGAAACUUAUAAUCGACCUUUUUAAAUGUGGAGCAGCCAUCAGGAGCUUCAAGACACCACCGGACAUCACAGUCCUUCCUUCCAAUAGAUAAAUGUUUAAUGGAGUUCACUCAAAGUUGUAGGAAUUCGUCCUCCAAGGAAAAUGCAGCGCCAGUCAAACUCGGCGUCCAGCAGAUGAAAACCAACAGCAGAAC